UCUCGUUAGAUCACCGAAGUCAAGCAUCAUUGGGCGCGGUCAGUACUUGGGUGGGUGACCACUUGGGAACGCCGCGUACCGU